CUACGGGCUGCUGCAGUGGGGAAUAUUGCACAAUGGAGGAAACUCUGAUGCAGCAACGCCGCGUGGAGGAUGACACUUUUCGGAGCGUAAACUCCUUUUAUAUAGGAAGACGAUGACGGUACUAUAUGAAUAAGCGCCGGCUAACUCCGUGCCAGCAGCCGCGGUAAUACGGAGGGCGCAAGCGUUACUCGGAAUCACUGGGCGUAAAGAGCGUGUAGGCGGAUUAAAAAGUCAGAAGUGAAAUCCUAUAGCUUAACUAUAGAACUGCUUCUGAAACUCUUAAUCUAGAAUAUGGGAGAGGUAGAUGGAAUUUCUGGUGUAGGGGUAAAAUCCGUAGAGAUCAGAAGGAAUACCGAUUGCGAAGGCGAUCUACUAGAACAUUAUUGACGCUGAGACGCGAAAGCGUGGGGAGCAAACAGGAUUAGAUACCCUGGUAGUC
rnacentral:rRNA from 1 species